AGAAAUAACCCAGCAUGUGAACCCGGCCCUAUGUUUUUAGGCCCCACACCCCUCCCACCACAGGUGUUUUGAAUUUGGACCCAAAUUUCAGGUUUCAUGACUGGAAUGAGCAGACACCAGAGAGCUCUGACGCUCGAGAACUGUGACUUAGACUGCGGCACCAACAAUCGGAGCCAUCACACCGCGGAUGCCGGAUGUACCAGACUCAUUGUCCGGAGGGGCCAGGCUUUUGAGAUCAAGCUGCAGUUUUCUCCGAGAGGUUAUGAAGAAGGAGUGGACCAGCUGACUCUUUUUGCUCAAACAGGUCCAUGUCCCUCUGAAGACUUCGGCACAGAAGCUAAAAUCAAAGUGACGGACUCCCUGCAGGAAGGUGAAUGGAGCGCAGCCAUAAGCAACGUCGAUGGUGAAAACCUUGUCCUGUCUGUCAUCUCUCCUCCCGAUGCCCGUAUUGGAAAGUAUGCCCUCUCCCUGGAGACUUCCACAGGAACAGAGGAAAACAGCUGCAACCUUGGGGACUUCUUCCUGCUCUUUAACCCAUGGUGUCCAGAGGACUCUGUGUACAUGGAGAAUGACGCCGAGCGGACAGAGUACGUUGCAACGCAGUACGGGAUCAUCUUCCAGGGAGUCGUAAGCAAUAUAACCUCUGUGCCUUGGAACUUUGGACAGUUUGAAGAUGAUAUACUGGAAGCUUCUCUUGAGGUGUUAGACAAAAACCCCAAGUUCUUGGAGGAUUCCACCACUGACUGCACCCAGCGGAACGAUCCCGUGUACAUAAGCCGUGUUGUCAGUGCAAUGGUGAACUGUAAUGGUGACAGCGGUGUUCUAUAUGGGCGCUGGGACAACUGCUAUGGCGACGGUGUAAGCCCCAUGUCCUGGAUCGGCAGCGUGGACAUCCUACGACGCUGGAGAAAGUUUGGUUGUCAAGCAGUGAAGUACGGACAGUGUUGGGUUUAUGCCGCCGUUGCCUGUUCAGUUCUGAGGUGUCUGGGCAUCCCCGCUCGGGUCAUCACCAACUACAAUUCCGCACAUGAUACCAACAGCAACUUGGCGAUCGAGCUGUACCUGGAUGACCAAGGGAAGAAUCAGAAGAAGCAUAAAGACAUGAUCUGGAACUUCCACUGUUGGGUCGAAGCCUGGAUGAACCGUCUUGAUCUUCCCGAAGGAUACGAUGGUUGGCAGGUCGUGGAUCCAACUCCUCAAGAGAAAAGUGAUGGUGCCUACUGCUGUGGUCCCGCUCCUGUCCUGGCUGUGAAGGAAGGUGACCUUGCCAUCAGCUACGACGUCCCAUUCGUAUUCGCCGAGGUCAAUGCAGAUGUCAUCUACUUUGUAGAGCAGAGGGACGGGACCGUCAGGCAGACCAAAAACAACGCGCUGGUCGGGCAGAAAAUCAGCACGAAAGCGGUGGGAACAGACACCCGGGAAGACAUUACGCAGAACUACAAAUACCCUGAGGGUUCCGAAGACGAAAGACGGGUCUUUGAAAAGGCAAAUCAGCAGGUUAUAGUCCCCCGAUCGCAGAGGGAGGAAGCCCCACACGCCAUUGACAUGAAGAUUAAAGUGUCCGAAAAGAUGGACAAGGGGAGCGAUUUUGAUGUGUUUGCAGUGAUCAGCAACAACACUGAGGAGGACAAGAUAUGUAGACUUAUGUUCUGUGCCCGUCCUACCAGCUAUAUGGGUGAGGUGGGGCCAGAAUGUGGGAUGAAGGAUCUAGUCGACCUCAAAUUGGAGGCAAAUGCAGAGAAGUCUGUCCCUCUGAGGGUUCUCUACGAGAAGUAUGGCAGCACCCUGACCCAGGACAACAUGAUCAAAGUGGUGGCUCUUCUCACUGACAAUUCUACGAAGGACGUUCUCCUUGCUAUAAGAGACAUUAAUGUGAAGAACCCCGACAUCAAAGUGCGGGUACUGGGAGAACCCAAGCAACAGAAAAAGCUGGUGGCAGAGAUCUCCGUGAAGAAUCCUCUAUCGGAGCCGCUGUCGGGAUGUAGCUUCACCCUGGAGGGAGCCGGCCUGACCGACCAACCUGUGGUCAAGGAACUAGAAAGCCCCAUAGAACCGGGGCAAGAUGCCAAAGUCCGAGUGGACCUCGUGCCUCAGCUAUCGGGACUGCGCAAACUCGUGGUUGACUUCGAGAGCGACCACCUGACGGGGGUGAAAGGUUACAAGAACAUCAUCAUAGCUCCCCUCCCAAAGUGAACCACGGCCCAUUGACCGACGGCCACCAUCUGUGCCCAGCGGACACCUACUGACCCAUAAUGGGGGUCCGGCAUGGAAAACUGCGUUUUGAUUGGAAGAAUAUCGCUUUGUUUUUUUUCUUCCUGUCAAAUCUGGUGGGAUUCCCGAUAGGGCAGUGGUCCGCAGGUUGGAGACCACUGCAAUAGGGGAUCCCAACGGUAGUGUGGACAAAGCCUAAGCCCUAAGGAAGUGGUCUUCAUACUGUGGACCUCCAGAUGUUGCAAAACAGCCAACGGCUGUCCGUGCGUGCUGGAAGUUGUAGUUUAGCAACAUCUGCAGGUCCACAGUUUGAGGACCACCUCAUAGUCACCUUCAGCAAAUGUUACAUACCAGUCCUAUAAUGUGAGAAGCCAUAUUUACAAGUAAGCACUCCAAGCACUGUGUAUUAUAAAGUAUUUGCCCCCCUCCCCCAUAACCAGGAU